AUUGAACGCUGGCGGCAGGCUUAACACAUGCAAGUCGAGCGAGCGGCGGACGGGUGAGUAAUGUCUGGGAAACUGCCUGAGGGAGGGGGAUAACUACUGGAAACGGUAGCUAAUACCGCAUACCAUCAGAUGUGCCCAGAUGGGGUUAGCUAGAGGGUGGGGUAAUGGCUCACCUAGGCGACGAUCCCUAGCUGGUCUGAGAGGAUGACAAGCCACACUGGAACUGCGACACGGGCCAGACUCCGACGGGAGUCAGCAGUGGGGAAUAUUGCACAAGGGGCGCAAGCCUGAUGCAGCCAUGCCGCGUGUGUGAAGAAGGCCUUCGGGUGGUAAAGCACUUUCAGCGAGGAGGCGUUACUCGCAGAAGAAGCACCGGCUAACUCCGUGCCAGCCGCCGCGGUAAUUC
rnacentral:rRNA from 1 species